AACGAACGCUGGCGGCAGGCUUAACACAUGCAAGUCGAGCGCCCCGCAAGGGGAGCGGCAGACGGGUGAGUAACGCGUGGGAAUCUACCCAUCCCUACGGAACAACUCCGGGAAACUGGAGCUAAUACCGUAUACGCCCUACGGGGGAAAGAUUUAUCGGGGAUGGAUGAGCCCGCGUUGGAUUAGCUAGUUGGUGGGGUAAUGGCCUACCAAGGCGACGAUCCAUAGCUGGUCUGAGAGGAUGAUCAGCCACAUUGGGACUGAGACACGGCCCAAACUCCUACGGGAGGCAGCAGUGGGGAAUAUUGGACAAUGGGCGAAAGCCUGAUCCAGCCAUGCCGCGUGAGUGAUGAAGGCCUUAGGGUUGUAAAGCUCUUUCACCAGGGACGAAGCUUUUGUGACGGUACCUGGAGAAGAAGCACCGGCCAACUACGUGCCAGCAGCCGCGGUAACAC
rnacentral:rRNA from 1 species